rnacentral:lncRNA from 1 species
CUUCUUUUAAAAGCCUGUAAGUGAUCAGGAACGAGGUCUCUGUGAGAUCCCGGGUGGACUGAGGGGAAUUUUUUGCAUGGACACUGUGCUAGCCAGUGAUAAACUAUUGCCACCCAAGAUCUUUAUUUUUCUCCCCACCAUGCCAAGCCUUUAUUGCCACGGGGCAAAUACCCAAGCUCCCUCGGGACCAUGUGAACCUGGAUACUACUGUACAGGAGGUGCCAAAAGUGCUCUUCAGCAGAUGGUCAUGGAGGGGCAUUAUUCCUCAGCAGGAGCUUUCAAGCCAGAGCCGUGUCCUCUUGGCAGCUUCCAGCCUGACCGUGGUCAGUCUCAUUGCAGGGACUGUCCAGAGGGUACGUUCUGCAAUGAGACAGGUCUGGCUGAAGCCCAGCCUUGUCCAAAAGGGCAUUUUUGCUUAGGAGGAAGUUCCCUGCCUCUCCCGUGUCCAGUGGGAAUGUAUGCAGAUGUGCUCGGGGCAGGUUCAUGCAAGCCCUGCCCAGCAGGCAUGUACUGCAGCAUGGCUGGUCUGGCUGAGCCAGAAGGACCUUGCCAGCCUGGGUAUUACUGCAAUCAAGGGUCCAGCAGCUCCUCACCUGUGGGCCUUUUAUUUGGAGAUCUUUGUCAACCAGGAUAUUACUGCCCUGCUGGGACAACACACCCAAAAGAGAUGGCAUGUCCUGCUGGCACCUGGAACGGCCGGAGGGGAGCCCAGGAUGCCACUUGGUGUCUUCCUUGUGCCCCUGGGUUUUUCUGCAGUAUGUCUGGCCAAGAUGCUCCCGUAGGACUUUGUGCACAAGGCUAUUACUGCACGGGAAGGGCAAAGACUGCAAAGCCAGUGGAUGGUGUCACUGGAGAUAUCUGUCCUCGAGGACAUUUCUGCCCUGCAGGCUCAGCAGCACCUUCUCCCUGCCCCAGUGGUGAAUACAGCAAUGCAACAGGUCAGGAACUGGAUCUCUGCAGCCUCAGUGUGACUUGGGAAAGCUAAAAGCAGAUUGUAUUUUUUGUCUGCCUCCAAGAACGCCUUG